AUGCCGCGUCCGGUCAGAUUCUGCCUCGGCGGUGGAGAUAGUCCCCUCCAGCUCGGCUUCUUUGCUGGUGCCCCCGGGUAUAUUGUUCCCUUUUUCCUCCUUUUGGCCUCGUGCCAAUGGCCUCAGGUUGGCGAUGAGGUGGAUUCCAGGACCGUGGUGGUGCACGUUGGUGGGCGAAUAAUAGUUUCAAACUCAAACAGUGAAACGUGUGACUUCAUGGUCAAACUAAACUUUAAUAGGAUUGACAUCUUACUAUUGUCAGGAAAACAACAAGUGCAGACUUGGAAACGAGGGGGAAUAGAACCCGGAGUGCUCUCUAAUGGGAACAUUGCGGUAAAAAGGAUAAAAAGCAGUCAUUCAAUCAAGGAGACGUCAUUUUAUCAUGAAGUUGACAGCCUGUUGAACAUUGAACAUGAAAAUGACAUACGAUUUCUUGGCUUCUGUGCUAGCACAGAUCAGAUAGCAAUAAAAGUUCGAGGAUCUAAAGAGCAUAUUUACGCCGAGGUACGAGAAAGACUACUCUGUUUUGAGUAUAUCAACAACGGAAGCCUGAGAAAAUAUAUUACGGAUGAAUUAAGGGGACUUGAAUGGAAAACACGUUAUGAAAUAAUUAGAGGCAUUUGUGAAGGUUUUUUGUACCAUCUGCACCACGAAAAGAAAAUAUAUCAUAUGGAUAUGAAACCGGAGAAUAUACUGCUAGAUAAUGAUAUGGUUCCGAAAAUCACUGAUUUUGGUUUAUCGAGACUCGAUGAAAAGUCACAAACCAUGAGUGAAGUCAGUCUUGGAUCACUAGGAUACUUUGCUCCAGAAUACCUAUUGCAGGGGAAAAUAUCAUUCAAAUCAGACAUGUACAGUUUGGGAGUUAUAAUUAUUGAACUAGUGACAGGACAAAAGGUGAUCCCCAAGAAUAAAAACAAUAUGAUAGCAUCAUGGGAUGGCUCUAAACGUUUAUAUUUCAGCCAUGUGGACCCCAACUCACCUGCCAUGUCUUUUCCUAACUUCCCGGACUUUCUAAAUCAUGUCUAA
rnacentral:rRNA from 1 species